rnacentral:rRNA from 1 species
UACAGAGGGUGCGAGCGUUGUCCGGAAUUAUUGGGCGUAAAGAGCUCGUAGGCGGUCUGUCGCGUCUGCUGUGAAAACUCAGGGCUUAACCCUGAGCUUGCAGUGGGUACGGGCAGACUAGAGUGCGGUAGGGGAGACUGGAAUUCCUGGUGUAGCGGUGAAAUGCGCAGAUAUCAGGAGGAACACCGGUGGCGAAGGCGGGUCUCUGGGCCGUAACUGACGCUGAGGAGCGAAAGCAUGGGGAGCGAACAGG